rnacentral:rRNA from 1 species
GACGAACGCUGGCGGCGUGCCUAACACAUGCAAGUCGAACGGAAAGACCCUGCUUUUGUGGGGUUCUCGAGUGGGGAAGGGGUGAGUAACACAUGAGUAUCCUGCCCUUGACUUUCGGAUAUCUUCAGGAAACUGGGGCUAAUACCGGAUAGGAGAUCCUGAUCCAUGGGGGGCGUUGGAAAGUUUCGGCUGUUGGGGAUGGACUCGCGGCUUACCAGCUAGUUGGUGGGGUAGUGGCGUACCAAGGCUUCGACGGGUAGCCGGCCUGAGAGGGUGACCAGCCACAUUGGGACUGAGAUACGGACCAGACUCGUACGGGAGGCAGCAGUGGGGAAUAUUGCACAAUGGGCGGAAGCCUGAUGCAGCGACGCCGCGUGCGUGAUGACGGCCUUCGGGUUGUAAACCGCUUUCGCCUGUGACGAAGCGUGAGUGACGGUAAUGGGUAAAGAAGCACCGGCUAACUACGUG